rnacentral:rRNA from 1 species
CGGCGGACGGUGAGUAACGCGUGGGUAACCUGCCUUACACAGGGGGAUAACAGUUAGAAAUGACUGCUAAUACCGCAUAAGACCCCGGUACCGCAUGGUACAGAGGUAAAAACUGAGGUGGUGUAAGAUGGACCCGCGUCUGAUUAGGUAGUUGGUGAGGUAACGGCUCACCAAGCCGACGAUCAGUAGCCGGCCUGAGAGGGUGGACGGCCACAUUGGGACUGAGACACGGCCCAGACUCCUACGGAAGGCAGCAG